CCGCUUUAAGUAGUCUACUCUGCAAAGCAACGUAGAAAUUUCUCUGUUUGUUAUUAACACUAGAAAACUGUAAAAAAAAAGCUCAAAAUGACGACAUACUCAGGUAAAGGCGAAAAGCCAACUGUUGGACGGAUGUUAGCGUUUGAUCACAUCACACUUUGGGUUGGAAAUGCUAAACAGGCAGCCUCAUAUUAUUGCACUCGAAUGGGUUUUGAGCCCAUGGCAUACAAAGGAUUAGAAACAGGCUCCAGAGAAGAAGUAGCUCAUGCUGUGAAACAG